rnacentral:rRNA from 1 species
CCUACGGGUGGCAGCAGUGGGGGAUAUUGCACAAUGGGGGGAACCCUGAUGCAGCGACGCCGCGUGGGUGAAGAAGCGCCUCGGCGCGUAAAGCCCUGUCAGCAGGGAAGAAACUGACGGUUCCUGACUAAGAAGCCCCGGCUAAAUACGUGCCAGCAGCCGCGGUAAUACGUAUGGGGCAAGCGUUAUCCGGAUUUACUGGGUGGAAAGGGAGCGUAGGCGGCCUGGCAAGCCUGAUGUGAAAUACCGGGGCCCAACCCCGGGGCUGCAUUGGGAACUGCCAGGCUGGAGUGCCGGAGAGGCAGGCGGAAUGCCUAGUAUAGUGGUGAAAUGCGUAGAUAUUAGGAGGAACACCAGUGGCGAAGGCGGCCUGCUGGACGGUGACUGACGCUGAGGCUCGAAAGCGUGGGGAGCAAACAGGAUUAGAUACCCCAGUAGUC